AGCGUCAGCGCUUUGUAUCGGUCUGUAACGUUUUCAGAGUUUUUCCGAGGGGCUUACGCUUCUUUACGUUGUGAUCGACCAAUCGGUAAUGUGCGCUGUUUCCAGCCCCGCCCACAUUCUCCAGUGCGUAUGUGCUUUAACACUUCUGAGAUCUGAGUCAUGAAUCAGCUGAGCGGCGAUCACAGCUCACUGGCGCUGUACCUGUGUGUGUGUGUGUGUGUGUGUGUGUGUGUGUUGUGUCUCGUCUCAGCCGGGUGUGAAGUUGUAAUAAGAGGUGAAAUUCGUUUAGUUUUCUCAAAAGCUCAGCACCAGGGUGUUUUUAUGAUUCUUCCAGACCCUAGUUCAACUAUCAUGAGAGCUUCACCCAGGGAUAAACGAAUUAAAAUACGAUUCACGUCAUUGCCACACGUCUGCCUCGGCACACAGGCCGGGUGAAGGCGAGGGUGCCAAUACUUUUAUCUAUGCAGAAGACGUACGGUAAGAAGAUGUGCAGCUUUGUUGGACGACGUUAAGGAACAACAAAAAGGUGUUCAGUGGCUGAAUCUCAAACUCUGUUUUGUGCUCUGUACUGGGUAGGGCACUGGGUAGGGCACUAGGUAGGACACUGGGUAGGGCACUAGCUAGGGCACUAGGAAGGGCACUGGCUAGGGCACAUUUAUGUUAGACCCUAGGUAGGGAGCACACUUAGUGAGUUAAAUUAAAUUCAAUUAAAAUGAAUUCCCAGAAGGUUUUAUGACCGAAUUAAACACCGCCGACAAACAGCCGCUGUAUUGCAAAAAUUCUUUCAUUUUGUAAUUUUUUUUUGUGAACAAAAUGAACUCUGAUCUCUGGAGUUUUGGAGUUUCAUCACGAAGGAAUGAUUUUUAUUUAAAGGAGCGGCAUGUAAUAAUUAGCGCCCUCUUCUGCCUGUAGUGAGAUGCCGUAGAAACGCAGACGAGCCUUUAUCUUUCCCUUCUGCUAGCAUUAUUUGCGCCUCGUAAAUUGUUUAGUGAAGAAAAAGUGGGCGUGGCUUAGCACCUGUUCUGACUAGGGGUGGAGCUAAUUGCAG
ensembl:lncRNA